AAGGUGACAUUCAUUAUAAUUUACUGCCCCACCUCUCUCGCCUACCUGCAGCAACCACUACUAGAUGUUCAUGGCGUCUUCUUCUUCUUCUUCGUCUAGACCUGGUUGGGUUUACGAUGUAUUUCUAAGUUUUAGAGGUGAAGAUACUCGCAAAAAUUUUACGGAUCAUCUUUUCACUGCUUUACAGAAAGCAGGAAUCCGUACAUUUCGAGAUGACGACGAACUUCGUAUAGGUGAAGAAAUCUCCUUCCAACUCCCCAAAGCAAUACAAGAAUCCAAGAUUUCUAUAGUGGUUUUCUCCAAGGGCUAUGCUUCCUCCACUUGGUGUCUUGAUGAACUUGAAAAGAUUCUUGAUUGCAGACAACCAACUGGUCAGAUUGUUCUACCUGUUUUCUAUGAUAUCGAUCCUUCUGAUAUUAGAAAACAGACGGGGAGUUUUGCUGAAGCCUUUGAUAGACAUGAAGAACGUUUUAAGGAAGAAAUGGAGAAGGUCCAAAAGUGGAGAAAAGCUCUUGUGGAGGCUGCAAAUAUAUCUGGGUUGGAUCUUCGCAGUUUCGCAAAUGGGCAUGAAUCAAAAUUAAUUCAAAAGAUUGUUGAAGAAGUUUCUAGUAAACUGAAUCCCAGAUUUUUGUUUGACGAUAUGCCGCUGAAGAGGUUGAAGACAACAAUGAUAUCUGGCAGUGGGCUGCUUGACGAUGCUGAGGAGAAGCAGAUAACAAAUAGAGCUGUGCGGGAUUGGCUGGUCGAGUAUAAAGACGCUGUCUAUGAAGCCGACGACUUCUUGGAUGAGAUUGCUUAUGAAGCUCUACGGCAGGAGUUGGAAGCUGAAGCUCAAACCUUCAUUAAACCACUUGAAAUAAUGGGGUUGAGAGAGAUAGAAGAAAAAUCAAGAGGCCUCCAGGAGAGUCUAGAUUACUUAGUAAAACAAAAGGAUGCCCUUGGUUUGAUCAACCGCACUGGAAAAGAACCAUCAUCGCCUAAAAGACGAACAACUUCUCUGGUGGAUGAACGUGGUGUUUAUGGUAGAGGUGAUGACAGGGAAGCAAUACUGAAGUUGCUUCUAUCAGAUGAUGCAAAUGGACAAAACCUAGGUGUCGUUCCCAUAGUGGGAAUGGGCGGGGUUGGUAAAACCACGCUCGCUCAGCUUGUAUACAAUCACAGCAGAGUACAAGAGCGGUUCGGUCUCAAAGCUUGGGUUUGUGUUUCAGAAGAUUUCAGUGUUUCGAAGUUAACCAAGGUUAUCCUUGAGGGGUUCGGUUCAUACCCUGCUUUUGAUAAUCUGGAUAAGCUCCAGCUUCAGUUGAAGGAGAGAUUACAGGGAAAUAAAUUCUUGCUUGUUUUAGAUGACGUUUGGAAUGAAGAUUAUGAUGAAUGGGAUAGGUUUCUUACCCCCCUGAAGUACGGAGCAAAAGGGAGUAUGAUUCUUGUCACAACACGCAAUGAAAGUGUAGCAUCUGUCACGAGAACUGUUCCAACUCAUCAUCUAAAAGAAUUGACGGAAGACAACUGCUUGCUCGUGUUCACCAAACAUGCAUUUCGUGGUAAAAAUCCCAAUGAUUAUGAAGAGUUGCUACAGAUUGGAAGAGAAAUAGCGAAAAAGUGUAAAGGCCUUCCUCUAGCUGCAAAAACACUCGGAGGUCUGCUACGCACCAAAAGAGAUGUUGAGGAGUGGGAGAAGAUAUUGGAAAGCAAUCUAUGGGAUUUACCCAAAGGCAAUAUCCUCCCAGCCUUGAGAUUAAGUUAUCAUUAUCUCCCGCCACAUCUGAAGCAGUGUUUUGCUUAUUGUGCCAUAUUUCCAAAAGACUAUUUAUUUGAAAAGGAUGAAUUAGUGCUCCUGUGGAUGGCAGAGGGCUUCUUAGUCCGCUCCGUAGAUGAUGAGAUGGAAAGAGCAGGUGCUGAGUGCUUUGAUGAUCUCUUGUCAAGGUCGUUUUCCCAGCAAUCAAGCUCAUUAUUUGUGAUGCACGAUCUCAUGCAUGACUUGGCUACCCAUGUGUCCGGUCAAUUUUGCUUCAGCUCCAGGUUGGGGGAAAAUAAUUCUUCCGAGGGCACCAGAAGGACUCGACAUUUAUCACUCGUAGUCGAUACGGGAGGCGGUUUUUCAAGCACAAAAUUAGAAAACAUCCGUGAAGCCCAACAUCUACGCACAUUCCAAACUUUAACUUUUGUAAAUGGUGGUCCUUCUCCUGAUUUUUAUAUUGAGAUCUUUCAUAUAUUGUCAAAACUUGGGCGCCUACGUGUGCUAUCCUUGUCUAACUUUGCCGGUGCAGAUAAGCUGCUUUGGUCAACUAGCAAGUUGAAGCAUUUGCGGUAUUUGGAUCUCUUUGGGUCAAAUUUAGUAACGUUGCCUGAAGAAGUGAGUGCUCUUCUCAAUUUGCAAACGUUGAUCUUGCAAGAGUGCUCCGAACUUGCUAGUCUACCUUAUCUUGGAAAUUUGAAGCACUUACGACAUCUGAAUCUUGAAGGAACAGGAAUCGAAAGGUUGCCUGCAUCUCUGGAAAGGUUAACCAACUUGCGGUAUCUUAACAUCUCAGACACGCCUUUGAAAGAGAUGCCACCACAUAUAGGUCAACUGGCAAAGCUCCGAACGUUGACUCACUUUCUCGUGGGAAGACAGAGUGAGACUAGCAUUAAAGAAUUGGGAAAGCUACGACAUCUACGGGGAGAACUUCAUAUUGGGAACCUUCAAAAUGUGGUGGAUGCACGGGAUGCAGCUGAGGCAAAUUUGAAAGGUAUAAAGCACCUUGAUAAGCUGAGGUUUACAUGGGAUGGUGACACUCAUGACCCGCAACACGUGACAAGCACACUUGAGAAAUUAGAGCCAAAUAGAAAUGUGAAGGAUCUUGAGAUUGAUGGCUAUGGAGGUGUAAGGUUUCCGGAGUGGGUAGGAAAGUCCUCUUUCUCGAAUAUAGUGUCUUUGAGGCUCAGUAGAUGUACAAACUGCACCUUCUUACCACCGCUCGGGCAAUUAGCUUCUUUAGAGCGUCUCUCAAUUGAAGCAUUCGAUAAAGUUGAGAUUGUGGGGUCUGAGUUCUAUGGGAAUUGUACUGCUAUGAAGAAGCCAUUUGAAUCCCUCAAAACAUUACGGUUUGAAGGAAUGCCAGAGUGGCGCGAGUGGAUUUCAGACGAAGGCAGCCGGGAAGGCUUCCCUCUUCUAGAGGAGCUUUUAAUCCAAGAAUGCCCGAACCUUGCAAAGGCCCUACCAUGUCACCACCUUCCACGUGUAACAAGUCUUACAAUUCGUGGAUGUAAGCAGCUCGCGACUCCACUUCCUAGGUUUCCGGAGUGGGUAGGAGAGUCCUAUUUGUCAAAUAUAGUGUCCUUGAAGCUCAUUAGAUGUACAAACAGCACCUCCUUACCACCGCUCGGGCAAUUAGCUUCUUUAGAGCGUCUCUCAAUUGAAGCAUUCGAUAAAGUUGAGAUUGUGGGCUCUGAGUUAUAUGGGAAUUGUACUGCUUUGAAGAAGCCAUUUGAAUCCCUCAAAACAUUAUCUUUUAGAAGGAUGUCAGAGUGGCGCGAGUGGAUUUCAGACGAAGGCAGCCGGGAAGCCUUCCCUCUUCUAGAGGAGCUUUUAAUCGAAGAAUGCCCGAACCUUGCAAAGGCCCUACCUUGUCACCACCUUCCACGUGUAACAAGUCUUACAAUCGGUGGAUGUGAGCAGCUCGCGACUCCACUUCCUAGGUUUCCUGGGUUGCUCUCUCUCAUUGUUUUUGAUUUGCACUCCCUAGAGUCCCUACCCGAGGAAAUUGAUCAAAUGGGUUGUUCACCCUCUGAUUUAGGGAAAAUUAUAAUCCACCGCUGCGCUUCUCUCAAAGGCGUCGCACUGGACUUGCUCCCCAAGUUAAAUUUUCUUCGUAUUCUUGACUGUCCAGAUCUGGAAUCACUAUGUGCAAAUGAAAGACCUCUCAAUGAUCUCACCUCUCUCCAUUCUUUGGAAAUCGAGGGGUGCCCUAAAUUAGUUUCAUUUCCCAAAGGAGGGUUACCUGCUCCAGUCUUGACACAACUUGAUUUAUAUGAUUGCAAAAACUUGAAGCAGUUGCCUGAGAGUAUGCCUUCCCUCCUCCCAUCCCUUAACCGUUUGGGAAUAUAUGGUUGUUCAGAAGUUGAGUUGUGUCCAGAAGGGGUUUUCCCUCCACAUUACAAUUACUUUGGAUUCGUAAUUGCAACAAACUCAUUGCAGGCCGCAUGCAAUGGGGCUUGCUAACGCUCCCUUCUCUUUCACACUUCGAAAUUGGAAUGGACGAAAAUGUUGAAUCCUUCCCUGAAGAGAUGGUGCUGCCCUCAAAUCUUACAUCUCUUAGCAUCUAUGACCUCCAACACCUGAAAUCUCUUGACUACAAGGGGCUUCAACACCUCACCUCCCUUACACGUUUGAGAAUAAGUCGCUGCCCUCGGAUUGAGUCAAUGCCAGAAGAAGGGUUGCCCUCCUCCCUUUCUACUCUUGCAAUUUACAGGUGUCCUAUGCUGGGUGAAAGUUGUGAAAGGGAGAAAGGUAAAGAUUGGCCCAAGAUUUCUCACAUUCCUUACAUAAAUAUUUCCCAAGAUUAAAAGAAGGUUUUCUUUCAAUCGUCCAACAUAUUGAGGAUCCAAAUCCAUCUUUCUACUUACAGUUCAUGAAGGCUCUGUCACCCUUCCUUCUUGCCAGAACGAUAUGCACAGGAUAAAAUUGAUCUGCUUGCUCCCUCAGCUAUGACUCAUUCAUUCUGAUCCAAAUUUUCCUCUACAAGCAUGGGCGGCUCAUAAGUUUGGAUGAAUGAAAUACAGAUACUGUCCAUGUUGUAUGUUUUUAUUUGUUGGAUGUUGAUAUACAAAUUUUCUUCCCAUUGUCUCUCAUA